GACGAACGCUGGCGGCGUGGAUUAGGCAUGCAAGUCGAACGGUAUCAUCCUUUCGGGGGUGAGAGAGUGGCGAACUGGUGAGUAACACGUAGGUUAUCUACCCUCAAGACGGGGACAACCCAGGGAAACUUGGGCUAAUACCGGAUGUGAGCAACUUUUAGUUGUUUGAAAGGUGGCGUAAGCUGUCGCUUGGGGAUGAGCCUGCGUCCUAUUAGUUAGUUGGUGAGGUAACGGCUCACCUAGGCAAUGAUAGGUAGGCGGCCUUAACGGGUGGUCGCCCACACUGGGAUUGAGAUACGGCCCAGACUCCUACGGGAGGCAGCAGUCGAGAAUAGUCUACAAUGGACGAAAGUCUGAUAGUGCGACGCCGCGUGAACGAAGAAUCCUUUCGGGGUGUAAAGUUCUUUUCUAUGUGAGCAGUUCCUUUUAUAUGAAGAGUAUAGAAGGGGGAUUUAAGCAUAGGAAUAAGCAACGGCUAACUCCGUG
rnacentral:rRNA from 1 species